rnacentral:rRNA from 1 species
UAACACCAGCAGCCCGAGUGGUGGUCGCGUUUAUUGGGCCUAAAGCGCUCGUAGCCGGGCCGGUAAGUCCCUUGUGAAAUCGGAUGGCUCAACUGUUCGGCUUGCAAGGUAAACUACAGGUCUUGGGGCCGGGAGACGCCGAGGGUACUCCGGGGGUAGCGGUGAAAUGCUGUAAUCCUCGGGGGACCACCAGUGGCGAAAGCGCUCGGCGAGAACGGGCCCGACGGUGAGGGGCGAAGGCUGGGGGAGCGAACCGGAUUAGAUACCCGGGUAGUCCCAGCUGUAAAGUAUGCGGGUUAGGUGUAGGGCGUUCCAUGAGGGCGCUCGGUGCCGUAGGGAAGCCGCUAAACUCGCCGCCUGGGGAGUACGGUCG